GGGUGCUGAGGGAGGUUAUGCACACAUGGCACAUAGCACAAUGCCUGGCUUACACUAUGGAGUGAGCGUCUAGUAAUUGCCAUUACUGUGGCUGACAUCGUGAUGGUGGUGUCCUGCAUUCUGAUUCCAGGGAUAAUGUCUCCAUCAUCAGCUCCCAGCCUGAUGGCAAUCUGCAGUCUUGGUUGAGCUGUACCCUGUCGAUGGCUACAGACACCAUGCGGACACCCUCUCGACAGUCAGCUACCAGCAGCUGCAUCCGCAGCUCCAGGAUGAAUGCAGAGGCUGGAGAUGCUGAGAGCAGAACCUGGGAUGCUCAUGGCAAGACUUCAAGAGACUACUCUGUUUCUCCCUGUUCUACCCGCCAGCGAAAGUCCUGUCAUUUUGGGGGCUGUGAAGAGUUUGGUGUCCAGAGAAAGCCUAUGGAGAGAUCGGGAGCUCUGUCCACUCGUGAGGCCUCUCGGAGUCCAGACACAUCCCCGCUGCCCAGGGAGAAGCUGCCCAGCCCAUCAGCAGCACUCUCGGAGUUCGUGGAAGGACUUCGGAGGAAGAGGGCCCAGAGAGGCCAGGGCUCCUCGCUGGGCCUGGAGGACUGGCCCACGCUCCCCAUUUACCAGACCACCAGCACUUCCAGGCUCAGGAGGGGCAGGGCGGGCAGUGACGAGGGAGACCUCUCCCUGAGGCUACAGGCCAAGUCCCCCCUGGGGGAGGAGGGGUCCCCUGGCACACCUGCUGGUCUCUUGCGGUCUACCAGCCUGAAGUGCAUCUCCUUGGGGGUUGCUGAGGGCACGAGCCUGGCCCCAGAGAGGCUGAAGACCCGCUUCAGUUCCUGUGAGUCCCUCUUAGAAUCAGAGCCCAGUGUGAGGAGAAAAACGAGCUCCCCCACCACCCCCAGGAACACGCUCUUGUCGCCCACGCUGCGUCCUCGGAGGCGCUGUCUGGAGUCCUCAGUGGAUGAUGCGGGCUGCCCAGACCUUGGCAAGGAGCCACUUGUCUUCCAGAACCGCCAAUUUGCCCACCUGAUGGAGGAGCCUCUAGGCAGUGACCCGUGCAGCUGGAUGCUCCCAAGCCUCAGCUAUGGACGCAAGGCCAGAGUGGACUUCGAUGACUUCCUCCCUGCCAUCCGGAAGCCUGAGAUGCCCACAUCCUUGGCAGGGGCAGCCAAAGAUGGGCAUGAAGGUUCAAAACAUUCAGGUGUCCUCUUUGAGACGGAGGAGGCUGACCGCUCCUUUCUCUCAGGGAUCAAGACCAUUUUGAAAAAGAGCGCAGAGUCCAGGGAGGACCCUGCUCACCUCUCUGACUCAUCCUCAUCUUCCAGCUCAAUCGUGUCUUUCAAAAGUGCCGGCAGCAUCAAGAGCCAGCCAAGAAGCCCACGCCUUGAAGUUAGUGGUGGUGAGCGAAUGUCCGCUGAGAACAGAGAGUCGGGCACAGGAAGGAAAGAUGAUGACGUGGAGAGCAUCAUGAAGAAGUACCUCCCAAAGUAGGAAGGAGUGCAGCCUCCUGAAAUGCCGCUGCCCUUGGAGACCUCCAGACUCCACAGCUGUUUGGAGAGAGACUGGCCAGGCCUCCCCAGUGCCCUCAGUGUGGAUUCAGCAUCACAGCCACCCUCAAGAGCCAGAUGGACCCAGAGAGCCAUAUCCUGCUAGGGCUUUGGGGCUCCCUGUAUGCUUGGUCUGUACGAAAUAAAGUUGGUUUCCUUGGCAUCCUUUCUGCUGACCACGGUCACCCAUGGUCAUCCAUCCCUGACCAUGCCACCUGGGGUGCUGGAAGAUUGAUGGGGUGCACUAGGGUAUAAGGGUCCUCAAGAGUGGAAUCAGCCCAGCCUGUCAGGCAGGGUAGACACUGCCAUCGUUCUCCCCGUGUGUGUAUAUGCAGUAGCCUUCCUCUUUCUCUUCACCCAGCCACUUGAGCUGGAGCGUGGCCUCCUCCAGAAAGUCUUGCCAGAUCACCAAACUGAAAUAGAUGCUCAUUCUCCAUGCUCCUUGAAUCCCUUCCUCAGCUCUUUUGUUUUCCCCUAUUUAUGCAUUUACAUUGUGUGUGCAAAAAUUUGUGUGAGCAUGUAAGAAACUGAUGAAUGAAUGAAUCAAUGAGCCAGUGAACAAAUAAAUGAGCCCAUGCAGCCUGAAGGCAUGGGGCACAUUGAUUUUUUAUCUCUAUAAAUGUGCACUCACAUCAACAUUCGAGAACCUGUGAUCACCCACACAGCCCUCCAUCCACCUCCUCAUACACAGAGCCCUACCACCCCCACCCCCACUCACACAUUUAAACAUACACUGGCACCAGAAACUACAUCCCAGCACAUCUUCCAACUUGUGGUGUAGAAAUCUGUUUCUUCAAACAUCUUUGAAGUAUUCAUGAUAAUAAAACUAUCAACUAAUGUUUUUUGAUCAUGUA
rnacentral:lncRNA from 1 species